AAUGGCCUACGGGGGGCAGCAGUAGGGAAUCUUCCACAAUGGACGAAAGUCUGAUGGAGCAACGCCGCGUGAGUGAAGAAGGGUUUCGGCUCGUAAAGCUCUGUUGGUAGUGAAGAAAGAUAGAGGUAGUAACUGGCCUUUAUUUGACGGUAAUUACUUAGAAAGUCACGGCUAACUACGUGCCAGCAGCCGCGGGAAUACGUAGGUGGAAAGCGUUGUCCGGAUUUAUUGGG
rnacentral:rRNA from 1 species